rnacentral:rRNA from 1 species
GUUAGGAAUAUUGGACAAUGGGCGCAAGCCUGAUCCAGCCAUGCCGCGUGAGUGAUGAAGGCCUUCAGGUUGUAAAGCUCUUUAGUCCACGAAUAUAAUGACUGUAGUGGAAGAAUAAGCCCCGGCUAACUUCGUGCCAGCAGCCGCGGUAAUACGAAGGGGGCGAGCGUUAUUCGGAAUCACUGGGCGUAAAGCGUGCGUAGGCUGUUUUGUAAGUCAGAAGUGAAAGCCCAGGGCUUAACCCUGGAAUUGCUUUUGAAACUACAAGACUCGAAUUCGGGAGAGGAUAGCGGAAUUGUCAGUGUAGCAGUGAAAUGCGUAGAUAUUGACAGGAACACCAGUGGCGCAAGCGGCUAUCUGGACCGAUAUUGACGCUGAGGCACGAAAGCGUGGGGAGCAAACAGGAUUAGAUACCCGUGUAGUCC